AAUUCUCAACUCUCCUCAGAUUCCAUCUGUAGGGUGAGCUUGGACUUGGAGGUUUCUGCUGGCGUUCGCCGGCUCCUCUUGAAAUCAUUAGCUUUGAGUUGAUCUUGACGGCUUGACCGGUGUGAUAAACAUCUACGCCGAUUCAUGCUGUCCUGAGCGACGACGUCGGAGACGCUCUGGCUUAUAACCGUCUUCACUGAAGGACAACGCCCUGAAC
rnacentral:misc_RNA from 1 species